rnacentral:rRNA from 1 species
GACGAACGCUGGCGGCGUGCUUAACACAUGCAAGUCGAACGGAAAGGCCCUGCUUUUGUGGGUUGCUCGAGUGGCGAACGGGUGAGUAACACGUGAGUAACCUGCCCUUGACUUUGGGAUAACUUCAGGCAACUGGGGCUCAUACCGGAUAGGAGCUCCUGCUGCAUGGUGGGGGUUGGAAAGCAUCGGCGGUGGGGGAAGGACUCGCGGCUUAUCAGCUUGUUGGUGGGGUAGUGGCUUACCAAGGCUUUGACGGGUAGCCGGCCUGAGAGGGUGACCGGACACAUUGGGUCUGAGAUACGGCACAGACUACUACGGGAGGCAGGAGUGGGGAAUAUUGCACAAUGGGCGGAAGCCUGAUGCAGCAACGCCGCGUGCGGGAUGACGGGCUUCGGGUUGUAAACCGCUGUCGCCUGUGACGAAGAGUGAGUGACGGUAAUGGGUAAAGAAGCACCGGCUAACUACGUG